UUUUUUUUUUUUUUCUCUCUCUAUUUCAUAUCUUUGGAAUCCUACUAAUGUGAGUGAUACCAAAAGAGCUGCCUUUUAUGACUUAGUGGGUUCUCUGAUUAGUUUUGGUCAAGCUUCAGGCAAAGUUUCCUUUAUACAGCUCAUGUCCACUUUAGCUUUGGUCCUUGCCUCACCUCCAAAACAUUUCCGCAUUUCCUCUUAUGAUAGAAGUUACUUUCCCUAACAGACAUCACAAAAUGCCCAUAACAAAAACCUUAUAACUAUCUCUAACUGGAAAAGAGAGGGAUGCUAUUAGAAUGCCUAUACGCAUUCAAAAACUAAAACAGCUACUUUGAAAAGGCUAAAUAAAGGCUACCGAAUCAGUAAAGAACCCGUUUUUAAGUUUAACAACAUUCUCCAACCUACAGAGCCCAGUACAACUAUUGAACUAUAACAAAUACAAAACUAACAAUAGCAUUACUUGCUGUUUCUUUUCUUGCAUUAUCUCAGCAAACAAUUACAACCUAUAAAUAAAAAGCUCCCAAAAACAAUGAGAGGGAAGGGGCCACAGAUAAAAGGACAAAAACAAUACCUUAUUUGACCACUUCCCAAACGGAGUGGCUGAGUUAAAC
rnacentral:misc_RNA from 1 species